rnacentral:rRNA from 1 species
UACGGAGGAUGCAAGUGUUAUCCGGAAUCACUGGGCGUAAAGGGCGCGUAGGUGGCGACCCAAGUCGAUGGUGAAAGCUCGCCGCUCAACGGCGAGUCGGCCACCGAUACUGGGUUGCUGGAGCACUGUAGAGGCUCAUGGAAUUCCGGGUGUAGCGGUGGAAUGCGUAGAGAUCCGGAAGAACACCGGUGGCGAAGGCGGCUCACUGGACUGGUAUUGACGCUGAGGUACGAAAGCGUGGGGAGCAAACAGG